ACACGUAGGGGGCGAGCGUUGUUCGGAAUUACUGGGCGUAAAGGGCAUGUAGGCGGUUUGGUAAGCCCGGCGUGAAAUACUGCAGCUUAACUGCAGGGGUGCGUUGGGAACUGCUGAGCUUGAGUGACGGAGAGGGAGCUAGAAUUCCUGGUGUAGGGGUGAAAUCUGUAGAUAUCAGGAAGAAUACCGAUGGCGAAGGCAAGCUCCUGGCCGAUGACUGACGCUGAGGUGCGAAAGUGUGGGGAUCAAACAGGAUUAGAUACCCUGGUAGUCCACACGGUAAACGAUGUGCACUAGGUGCUGGUGCGGUAGUAUCAGUGCCGGAGCGAACGUGGUAAGUGCACCGCCUGGGGAGUAUGCCCGCAGGGGUGAA
rnacentral:rRNA from 1 species